rnacentral:rRNA from 1 species
UUAAGUCCCGCAACGAGCGCAACCCUCGUUCCAUGUUGCCAGCACGUAAAGGUGGGGACUCAUGGGAGACUGCCGGGGUCAACUCGGAGGAAGGUGGGGAUGACGUCAAAUCAUCAUGCCCCUUAUGUCUUGGGCUUCACGCAUGCUACAAUGGCCGGUACAAAGGGCUGCGAUACCGUAAGGUGGAGCGAAUCCCAAAAAGCCGGUCUCAGUUCGGAUUGAGGUCUGCAACUCGACCUCAUGAAGUCGGAGUCGCUAGUAAUCGCAGAUCAGCAACGCUGCGGUGAAUACGUUCCCGGGCCUUGUACACACCGCCCGUCAAGUCACGAAAGUUGGUAACACCCGAAGCCGAUGGCCUAACCACCUUGUGUGGAGGGAGUCGUCGAAGGUGGGACUG